GCCAGGUUCUGAUCGGUCACCCCUCCUUCCACACCUCCCGUCCCGUCCCUUCUGCUCUGACAGCUGAGCCGCAGCCGGCGGGCAGCGGGGUGGUGAUAGCGGAGCGGCUCCAGCGAGCUGCCAUUCCAGAUGUCGGGAGCUGGCACGCAGGACUCAGAUCUACAUACCCCAGCUGCAGGCCCACUGAAGCACUGAACACCCCGUUGCCUCAGCAAACAGGUUAUAGGGCCAAGGUGGAGAAGUAAACUACACGAUGACCAGACCUUAGCCACGACAUACGCUCCCACAGUU